rnacentral:rRNA from 1 species
AAGAGUUUGAUCCUGGCUCAGAUUGAACGCUGGCGGCAGGCCUAACACAUGCAAGUCGAGCGGAUGAAGGGAGCUUGCUCCUGGAUUCAGCGGCGGACGGGUGAGUAAUGCCUAGGAAUCUGCCUGGUAGUGGGGGAUAACGUCCGGAAACGGGCGCUAAUACCGCAUACGUCCUGAGGGAGAAAGUGGGGGAUCUUCGGACCUCACGCUAUCAGAUGAGCCUAGGUCGGAUUAGCUAGUUGGUGGGGUAAAGGCCUACCAAGGCGACGAUCCGUAACUGGUCUGAGAGGAUGAUCAGUCACACUGGAACUGAGACACGGUCCAGACUCCUACGGGAGGCAGCAGUGGGGAAUAUUGGACAAUGGGCGAAAGCCUGAUCCAGCCAUGCCGCGUGUGUGAAGAAGGUCUUCGGAUUGUAAAGCACUUUAAGUUGGGAGGAAGGGCAGUAAGUUAAUACCUUGCUGUUUUGACGUUACCAACAGAAUAAGCACCGGCUAACUUCGUGCCAGCAGCCGCGGUAAUACGAAGGGUGCAAGCGUUAAUCGGAAUUACUGGGCGUAAAGCGCGCGUAGGUGGUUCAGCAAGUUGGAUGUGAAAUCCCCGGGCUCAACCUGGGAACUGCAUCCAAAACUACUGAGCUAGAGUACGGUAGAGGGUGGUGGAAUUUCCUGUGUAGCGGUGAAAUGCGUAGAUAUAGGAAGGAACACCAGUGGCGAAGGCGACCACCUGGACUGAUACUGACACUGAGGUGCGAAAGCGUGGGGAGCAAACAGGAUUAGAUACCCUGGUAGUCCACGCCGUAAACGAUGUCGACUAGCCGUUGGGAUCCUUGAGAUCUUAGUGGCGCAGCUAACGCGAUAAGUCGACCGCCUGGGGAGUACGGCCGCAAGGUUAAAACUCAAAGGAAUUGACGGC